AGGAAGCACUGGCGGGGGUUUCUUCUCUGCCGGCGCCGCCGCCGUUAUUGCCGCACAGGAGGGGGAAGAACGACGCGUGUGAGAGGAGAGAGCGAUUGUGGCAGAAAAGCACCGCGUGAAAGAGGAGGGAGGUUCCAUUGCCGCAGCCACCUUUGAUGGAAGCCGCCACCGUCGCUGGGAGGAUCCGAAUAUGAGAGAAGAGGUUUCGUUGAUGUUGUCGCAGGGAAGGGGGACGAGACGUGUGAGAGAGAGUGGCGCACAGAGGAGGGACCAUUCCUCUGCCGCCACCAUCGCCGGAAUCUCUAGUCGCCGCCAUCAUUAAUGUUUGUCUCAAUCGGAGCCACUGGCGAAGGUAUUGCCACUGCCGGAAGCCAAUGCCGGGGCUAUUGCUAGUUCUGAUUCUAUUAUCUUGGGCUAUUUCUUCUCUUGAUUACAUUAGAUUCAAAAUUCUUGCCCUGCUGCAACCAUCAUCAUCGCUGCGAAAUUAACGUUGUUGCUAUUUCAGUUGAUGCGGUGUCCUUGAUUGCAUUAGGAUUGUCGCCACUGCUGUAAAUUAGAAACGAAAUGGGGGCAGUUGUGUUCAAAUUCUGCUACUCGGGCUAAUCGAGAUAGGGGGUUUAAUUUAAAUAGUUUUUUUAAUUUAAGAAUGCCCACAAGGUUUAUUGAAUAACUGCAAAUAGGUUUAAUUGUUGUGAGUAAUUAAUUGGUAAUGUGAAUGUUGGAUUGUGGUUGAGAUUGUGAUUGGAAUGGUGGAGAUUGUAUUUGAAGUUGUGAUUGAAUUGAGUGUAACUAUGUGUGGUAGAUGAUUGAGAUUAUGAUUGAAUUGAGCGUUGUUAUUGAUAAACCUCAUUUUUAGGGUUUAUCUUGUACUUA